rnacentral:lncRNA from 1 species
CAGUUGUUCCGCAGUAUGCGUUUCUCUUAUACAAACCGCAGUUAAACAGUACCGCACUAUCCAAUCCGUUUGUCUCAUACCGCUCAAACCGCUGUUACCAUUUGAAGCCUACACUUCUAACCACACCAUAUUCAUCUCUUGUUAAACACAGGUGUGGUUGAAGACCAAAACUUUUCUCACACUCUGUCCCACACUACUCUUUUAUUAUUUAUUUAUUUAUAAAACUAAUAGAAACACAAGUGAAUGGUAAAACACAUUCUCUAUCAUCGUGUGUUCUUCUCAUCCCGCAACUAACAUUCAAGGCCAAAGUCUCUAACUAGUAAUGAUGCUCAUUUUGAUGUAGUCAUGGUUCGUAUUUAACCGGAAUUUUGUAAAAUAUAUACUUGUUGGCACGAUUUUGACUUAAAUCAAUCACGUGUUCUUGCAUUUCUCACGUUCGAAAUUUUUUCUUCCAUGUACUUAUUUUUUUUAUCUUUUUUUUAUUUUUAACAUCAUUUCAUUAGUUGGGCAACUAUUGGGUAUAAAUCAUAAAGCUCAAUGGGGAAAACAAGUUAUAAGAACAUCUAUGUUGAUAGAUUUCAAGAUAACCACUUAGGGCCUAUCCAAUGGUUGCUAUCAAAU